AUAAGCAAGUUAACGGUUGGUUGCGAGAUGCCGUUGAGUUCUUUUGGCAGGUGCUUCGCACUUGAAAAAACACAACUCGUUGAUGAUUAAUCACCGUUCCACCGCUAUAACGUAUUCUUCACGCACUUUAUUGGGGGUGACGUAUUUGAACUGGGAAAUUGUGUGUUCCCAUAUUGGAACGCGUGAUCAAAUAGGCCUUGUUUAGUUUCUGGUCGGACUGCGCAUUCGACCAUGAAGCGCUGCAACAGCUGGGUUGUACACGAGUUCGAAAAUAGUUGCACGGUUAGUUUGCACAUGAGUGUGAGCCUGUGUUUGUCCAGCUAGAAUAUUCGUUCAAAUGAAACCUUGAUUAUGUUAUUGCAGCUUUACAUGGAUUAUACUAGGAGACGCUAAAUUGUACGUCAAGGAUUAGUCUCAUAUGUUCGUGACUGGUACGAUUUCAUUGAUCUAAUUUGAGAUUUGCGUUGUAUGCGAUUUUCUACAUUUUAUUUCUUAGAUGACUGUUUUUUACCCUCAUUUGAACAACUCGCAUUUCGCCAGCGACAAUUUUAACCACAAGAUGGCCCUGUCACCCAAUUGUCGCCGUAUCCAAUGGAAGCAACACGACAGUCGAUUACAUUGCACCGAAAAAACGCCGAAAGACCUAAUCGCCAAUCGCUUGGCAAUUUUGUUAAUACGAAAUUUUUCUAAAAGAACAAAGAAGGGAAUGGGCGCAAAAAAAUCCAUGAUGGCCGACCAUUUGCUUACCAGUCCUCCUUUUCUUAACAAAUGUUUGUCAGUCGCCAUGGAGAUGGAGUGUGGUCGAGUUCUGCUGAUUGAAUUGUGUCGGACUUUAUAUUCCUGUCAUUUUCCAUGAACGGUAAUCACCUGCUUUCCUGUUGAAAUUGACUAGAUUAUUAGAAGCCAGUUGAAGAGCAAAGCAGGGAAGAGUACAUGCUCGUACGUCUUCUCAACUGUCCAACCGUGUCAUAAAAUAUUGGCAAACUUAUCUCUGCGAUCAAUGAAACGGAAAGUAUUUGAUAAGUUUCAUAUUGAUAUUUUUGUACCCUAACUAAAAAUUUAAUAAUGAUAACUAUUGUAAUGGAGCCUUGCUUUCUACUUUUUGU